AACGAACGCUGGCGGCAUGCCUAACACAUGCAAGUCGAACGAACCCUUCGGGUCUAGUGGCGCACGGGUGCGUAACGCGUGGGAACCUGCCCUUAGGUUCGGAAUAACUCCCCGAAAGGGGUGCUAAUACCGGAUCAUGUCUUCGGACCAAAGAUUUAUCGCCUUUGGAUGGGCCCGCGUUGGAUUAGCUAGUUGGUAGGGUAAAAGCCUACCAAGGCGACGAUCCAUAGCUGGUCUGAGAGGAUGAUCAGCCACACUGGGACUGAGACACGGCCCAGACUCCUACGGGAGGCAGCAGUGGGGAAUAUUGGACAAUGGGCGAAAGCCUGAUCCAGCAAUGCCGCGUGAGUGAUGAAGGCCUUAGGGUUGUAAAGCUCUUUUACCCGGGAUGAUAAUGACAGUACCGGGAGAAUAAGCUCCGGCUAACUCCGUG
rnacentral:rRNA from 1 species